rnacentral:lncRNA from 1 species
GUGCCUUCCAACCUCCUGCAGGAAACACACAUUCACGCCAGGGUUCCUGAGUGGCAGGACAGCAGGAUGGCAGAAUGGCAGCUUGGAAGUCAUUCUUCUGAGUGACAGCUCUACAUAAUAUCACAGCAAGUCAUGCUCGAUGAUGGAAAAUGUUCUGAGAAAGUCUAUGUCAGGUGACUUUGUCAUUGUGUGAACAUAAGAGUGUGGACUUACAUAAACACAAGUGGAAUAGGCGAAUCACCAAUGUGGUCUCUUGAUGCAAUCCAGGGACAUGGUAAACAUGAGAUGGCUUAUCCAUAAAAGGGCCUUGAUAAGUAUUGUUGCAUUCAGUGGAGUUAGCAUCUUGUUUAUAGAGGACUGAACUCAGCCCCAGGCCACACUGGUCUGCUGUGCCUCUGUUACUGGCAGGACCUUUGAUACCUGGCAAGUUGCAUCACUAGGAGGCAGGGAGAAGUGUUUCCAAAAUGAAAGUUCUUGCAGCAAACUAUAGGGGAGGCACCCCCUGAGAUGUUCCUGGGCCUCUUAGUCUCACUGCUGACACUUAAGGGAUUGCAGAGACGCCUGAGAUGACCUCCAAAUUUUCUGAAGCCCAUCUGGUCUGGGGAAAAGAAGAUUCAGACUGAGGAGGCCAGGGCUCCUUCUCUCUUGCUCCCCAGGAGCCCAUGGGAAAUGUUGAAGUAGGGGGCCAGCAAGUCCAUUCCCUGGUGGACACUGGUGCUGAGAGGUCAGUAUUAAAAAAUUCCCUG